UGAAGGGGAGGUGGAGGGGGGAUGGGUUAAAUGGGUGAUGGGUAUUAAGGAGGGCACCUUUUGGGAAGAAGACCGGUGUCCUAUGUAAGAGAUGAAUCACUGGGUUGUACUCCUGAAGCUAAGACUACACCGUCUCUUAUAGACAUCUC